AGAGUUUGAUCAUGGCUCAGAACGAACGCUGGCGGCAGGCCUAACACAUGCAAGUCGAGCGCACCCUUCGGGGCGAGCGGCGGACGGGUUAGUAACGCGUGGGRACAUACCCUUCUCUACGGAAUAGCCUCGGGAAACUGAGAGUAAUACCGUAUACGCCCUUCGGGGGAAAGAUUUAUCGGAGAAGGAUUGGCCCGCGUUAGAUUAGAUAGUUGGUGGGGUAAUGGCCUACCAAGUCUACGAUCUAUAGCUGGUUUUAGAGGAUGAUCAGCAACACUGGGACUGAGACACGGCCCAGACUCCUACGGGAGGCAGCAGUGGGGAAUCUUAGACAAUGGGCGCAAGCCUGAUCUAGCCAUGCCGCGUGUGUGAUGAAGGCCUUAGGGUCGUAAAGCACUUUCGCCAGGGAUGAUAAUGACAGUACCUGGUAAAGAAACCCCGGCUAACUCCGUGCCAGCAGCCGCGGUAAUACGGAGGGGGUUMGCGUUGUUCGGAAUUACUGGGCGUAAAGCGCACGUAGGCGGAUCAGAAAGUAAGAGGUGAAAUCCCAGGGCUCAACCCUGGAACUGCCUUUUAAACUCCUGGUCYUGAGUUCGAGAGAGGUGAGUGGAAUUCCGAGUGUAGAGGUGAAAUUCGUAGAUAUUCGGAGGAACACCAGUGGCGAAGGCGGCUCACUGGCUCGAUACUGACGCUGAGGUGCGAAAGUGUGGGKAGCAAACAGGAUUAGAUACCCUGGUAGU
rnacentral:rRNA from 1 species